rnacentral:rRNA from 1 species
UACGUAGGUGGCAAGCGUUAUCCGGAAUUAUUGGGCGUAAAGAGCGCGCAGGUGGUUGAUUAAGUCUGAUGUGAAAGCCCACGGCUUAACCGUGGAGGGUCAUUGGAAACUGGUCGACUUGAGUGCAGAAGAGGGAAGUGGAAUUCCAUGUGUAGCGGUGAAAUGCGUAGAGAUAUGGAGGAACACCAGUGGCGAAGGCGGCUUCCUGGUCUGCAACUGACACUGAGGCGCGAAAGCGUAGGGAGCAAACAGGAUUAGA